rnacentral:rRNA from 1 species
GAGUUUGAUCCUGGCUCAGAACGAACGCUGGCGGCGUGCCUAACACAUGCAAGUCGAACGUGAUCCAGAGCUUGCUCUGGUGAAAGUGGCGCACGGGUGAGUAACGCGUGGAUAACCUACCCUGGUAUCCGGGAUAACAUUCCGAAAGGGGUGCUAAUACCGGAUAAGCCCACGGGCUCUUUGGAGCUUGCGGGAAAAGGUGGCCUCUAUUUAUAAGCUACUGUAUCAGGAUGGGUCCGCGUACCAUUAGCUAGUUGGCGGUGUAACGGACCACCAAGGCGACGAUGGUUAGCUGGUCUGAGAGGAUGAUCAGCCACACUGGAACUGAGACACGGUCCAGACUCCUACGGGAGGCAGCAGUGGGGAAUUUUGCGCAAUGGGGGAAACCCUGACGCAGCAACGCCGCGUGAGUGAUGAAGGCCUUUGGGUCGUAAAGCUCUGUCAGAGGGGAAGAAAUGAUAUAGUGCUAAUACCACUUUAUCUUGACGGUACCCUCAAAGGAAACACCGGCUAACUCCGUGCCAGCAGCCGCGGUAAUAC